rnacentral:rRNA from 1 species
ACUAAAUAGAUACCCGGGUAGUCCACGCCCUAAACGAUGUCUACUAGUUGUUGGUGGAGUAAAAUCCAUGAGUAAACGCAGCUAAACGCGUGAAGUAGACCGCCUGGGGAGUACGGUCGCAAGAUUAAAACUCAAAGGAAUUGACGGGGCCCGGCACAAGCGGUGGAUUAUGUGGAUUAAUUCGAUGCAACGACGAAAAACCUUAACCUGGCCGUUGACAUGCCACUAACGAAGCAGAGAUGCAUUAGGUGCCCGUAACGGGAAAGUGGACACAGGUGCUGCAUGGCUGUCGUCAGCUCGUGUCGUGAGAUGUUGGGUUAAGUCCCGCAACGAGCGCAACCCUUGCCAUU